rnacentral:sRNA from 1 species
GAAGAAAAGCAAGAGUAAGUGCUGAAAACGAAAAGGAAACCAGCAGCAGUCCCAGCUACCACAACGGAUCAGCCCCCAUUUGGCCAACAGGUGACUCUACCCCAGGUCGGCCUGAGAGGACCCAUCCCCCAUCUCACCAUUCUGCCCCAGUGACCUGGAUCCUGCCUUUACCACUUCUUCCCUGCAGCGUCUUCGGUUCCCCCACCGCUGUGGGCCAGGUUCCCCCUCCAGGCUGCUGGGCUGGGACUGAGUCACUUCUUCCCAGGCUGUAAAUCCUGGGACUGCUGUGCAAGGCAGAGUCACUAGGGACGGACUCAGGCAGCAGAGCCGCGUUCUCAUGCCCCAGCCAGCCAGGCUCUCCUGGGAUCUGGGCUGGAAGGGGCUGCCGAGACCAUCAGUCAAAUCUUUGGUCUACAGGUGGGGAAACUGAGGCUCAAGGAAGGCUCUGCGUCCUGCUUUGUGUAAGGAGAGAGCUGGGCAGUGAGGCCGAGGGUCCUUCCUGGGCUCACAGUCCAAGUCGCAAGGAAUCACAUCAUUUCCAAGUACCCAUGGCAGAAGAGGGAGCC